GGAGGGAUGGUAGCCAUGAAGCCCUUCCUCUGGACCAGGAUACUGAUGAUUUUCUUUAGGAGGGCCAGAAGUAAUCGAUCCUGCUGGUGUUCCAUUACCUCAGCCAGCUCAAUCUUGGGUAUGGCUUGUGGACCUGGAAAGGACAAUUGCUCUCCUCAUCGGACGUUGUCUUGGAGGCAUGCUUCAGGGUUCCCCGGUGUCUCCAGAGGAACAGGAUACAGCAUAUUGGAUGAAAACACCACUUUUCAGUGACGGAGUCGAAAUGGACACUCCUCAGUUAGAUAAAUGUAUGAGUUGCCUGUUAGAAGUAGCUCUUUCAGGAAAUGAAGAACAGAAGCCUUUUGAUUACAAAUUGCGGCCUGAAAUUGCUGUCUAUGUAGACUUGGCAUUGGGUUGUUCUAAAGAGCCUGCCCGCAGUCUUUGGAUCAACAUGCAGGAUUAUGCGGUUAGUAAAGAUUGGGACAGUGCAACUUUAAGUAAUGAGUCACUCUUGGACACUGUGUCUAGAUUUGUUCUUGCAGCACUUCUGAAACACACAAAUUUACUUAGUCAAGCAUGUGGAGAAAGCCGAUACCAACCUGGUAAAAGCUUAUCAGAAGUGUACCGUUGUGUAUACAAAGUUCGAAGCCGUUUACUUGCUUGCAAGAACCUUGAACUUAUUCAGACCAGGUCAUCAUCACGAGACAGAUGGGUAAAGUUGGAAAUAAAUUUAGUUUCUAUGUUUUUCUGCCAGUGGUGAGAGAGAUAGCCUCAUAUUGGUUUAUGUGAGAAAAAAAAGUGCCAGUAUGGCAGAUGUUCAGUAAAUGUUGAGAGUUUGUUUUCUAAUGAAAAGGAUGAAAAAGUACAAGGAGUUUGGAGUUUAUUUAACUCCACUUUUACCAAGUAUGAUAGAGCUGCUAAGAAAGUUUGUGGCAUAAAUAAUAAUAGGAAAUAUUCUUUUUUAUGCUGGUCAGGUUACAUUUGAAUUAUCCUGGUUAUCUUGGGGUGCCAGAAAUUAUGAGGGACAUUAACAAAUACCUAAAAUUGGGGAAUGUUCCAAAAAUAAUCUUAUAUAAGAAUUGGAACGUAUCAGAAAUGUUCAGCCUAGAAAAGAAAAGUGAAAAUGAAGGAAGGGGGUUGCACAUGAAAAUAGUCCUUAUUAUUAGAGUGUCCACCCCUGAAAGAAAAGAUUGAAACCAUUUAUUGAGGUAGUCUAGAAGUAAUUCUUAAAACAAAAGUAAGAUGAUUUCUAAAAUGCCUUGUAUUCUCGGUACCAUGAUACUGUAAUUGUAAAUACAAGCCUGGGUACAUGAUCUUCACAAGUGCUUCCUUUGAAACUGGAUAUAUCAGAUGCUGUGUACUUCAUUAUUUAGUUCUUAGAUUAAACAAACCAAGGUGUCUCUACAUUUGUGUUAGAACAGACUUUUGGCUUAUAUUGACUUAAUAUUUUUGUGAAUCUGAC
rnacentral:lncRNA from 1 species